rnacentral:rRNA from 1 species
CCCUUAGAUGUUCUGGGCCGCACGCGCGCUACACUGAUGCAUUCAACGAGUCUAAAACCUGCUCUGAUAGGGGUGGGUAAUCUUUUGAAUGUGCAUCGUGAUUGGGAUAGAUGAUUGCAAUUUUUCAUCUUCAACGAGGAAUGCCUAGUAAACGCAAGUCAUCAGCUUGCAUUGAUUACGUCCCUGCCCUUUGUACACACCGCCCGUCGCUCCUACCGAUUGAAUGAUCCGAUGAAUAUCAUGGAUUGAGGAUGCAAGUAGGUUCGCCUAUCUUCAUCUUCGAGAAGUGAAGUAAAUCUUAUCAUUUAGAGGAAGGAGAAGUUGUAACA